rnacentral:lncRNA from 1 species
UCUAGGCCAGUACUCAGUGGCUGAGGCAACUGCCCAGGCAACCAUGUGCCAUGGAGUGGUCAGCCAUUGCAGGUCUUUUGACCCUUCUCUUACUUGUGUGGAGGACUUUUUGCUCCAUUCGAAGCCAAGCCGGCUUGCAGUGAGGAGAGAAAAACAGCUUGGUCUCCAGCUUGCAGGACUCAUUCAGGAAAAAUGCCAACUCUUGGACAAACUCAACUGAGUUGAAAAGGAGGACAAAGCCUUAGAGGCAGCUCUCAAGGACCCCCACCUGGAAGAGGAAGCCAGGGAAGCACAACGUUGGGACGCAGCCUACAAGAAGGUGGCUGGGGACAGAGCCAGACUUCAAGAGGAGAUAAGGUUUCUCUUCCAAGAGCUCAAAGAAGAGCACUCACGACGUUUUCAAUACCAGCAAUUCAGGUUGGCAGAGCUUUCCAAAAGGAUCCGGUCCCGAGCAGAGGAAUCCAAAUCACUCACAUCAGAAGUAGCUGAAACUAAGGUUGCACUGUUGAACAUCAGCAAAGAACGUCUGCAGGGAGCAAUGACAGAUGCUCUGAGGGAAAACACUCAACUCCAGAAAGACCAGACACAGCUUUUCCAGGAAGCUCAAGGGUGGAAAGAGAAGGUGAGUGAACUCACCUUACAGAUGACCAUGCUCCAAGACUCCCAGGCUCAACCAGAACAACUGUUCUGGGAGAAAGGGAAACACAUCAAGGCUCUGACUGAGCACCUGCUCAUCACCACAAAAGGCUGGGUUCCCAGGCACCUAGAAGACAUCACACACACUGGAAACUGGCAGCAGGAAAUGAGGAGUCAACUGGAAAAUGGUCCUGGCUUAGGUCACUGGCCAAAAAGAGCUUUGGAGAAACUGGUCUAUGGUUCUCAGUUAAAGGCUUCCCUAAACACCAUGGAAGAACAAAGAAAUCAACUUCACUCUCAACUCCUGGAGGCUGAGAAAACUGAAGAACUGGCGGAGUCUCUGCAACAUCUCCAGAUUCAGCGAGCAUCUUGGCAGUCAGCAAACACACAGCUGGAAAGGGAGUGCCAGAAGCUUCAGCAAAAGCUUACAGUGAGGACCCAAGUUUAUAAACAAACAGUCCUGAGCUGCCACAGGGAACUGAGAGUGCAGGCGAAAUCCUGGGCAGAACAAGAGCAGAAACUAUCCACCCUGCAGGAGAUGGACCAGGCUGCUGAAGACCUCAACACCUACAGAAAGCGAGCCCAAGAUCUAGAGGAGGAAUGGGAGAGGACCAUCCAUUUCUACCAACAGCAGCUCACCUCGCUGCAGAGAGAGGCCCUUGAGAACUGGGCAGCAGCUCGCAUGGCUGAGAGAGAGCGCCAGGAUUUAAGAAGAGCCAAUGCUCGCACCAGACAACACCUCAGUGCAACAGAGCUGAAAGCUCCCCUUUUGGGCAAAGAUCCUGCCACACUCAAUGUCACAAAGAGUGCAUCUGCUCACAGGUUCCCUCCCCUAGGGGUCGCCCUAAGUCUGCAAAGAGAUCUAUCUGUUCACCCUCUUCAGACUCUGUGGGAGGAGCCACCGGUGGAGCUCCAUCGUUUCUAAGACCCCCAGUGGCCCAGGUCCCGAGAGGUCCCGCUGCUCCUCCUCUGCCUCCUCCAGGAAACAAGGACAAAGCAUGUGCACAUCACUGGCCCCUCAGGUAUCUCCCUGACCCACGGCCAGCAUUCCCAGUGACAAAGGUCUAUUCCCCACGGCCUAUUCCUCAGUCUCUUCCCCCAGGAGCUGAGGUUUCCCCAACCCCCACAAGCUGAAAGCAGGAGCCCCUCUGGGAUCCACUCAGAUUCCCAAGGAGCCUGAUACUCAACACCCAGCCCCACAACAGGAAGCUGGGCCAUGGCUUUGCUCUCCCUUCAGAGUCAUUCCCACAGUCUCCCUCACUUUCUGCACUUGUGCUCUUUCUCAAGCAUAGUAUUUAAUAAAUAAAGAGAAUUUAAAUAUAAAAAACUGUAGAUGCUCAGAGCCUAAGUCUAUAUGAAUUAGAAGUAAAUAAAAAGGAAUACAGUGUACAUUUUCCCGAGUACAGAGUGACAAGCAGAGUUCCCAGAACCACAAUG